UACGUAGGGUGCAAGCGUUGUCCGGAAUUAUUGGGCGUAAAGAGCUCGUAGGCGGUUUGCUGCGUCGGCUGUGAAAUCCCGAGGCUCAACCUCGGGUCUGCAGUCGAUACGAGCAAACUAGAGUGUUGCAGGGGAGACUGGAAUUCCUGGUGUAGCGGUGAAAUGCGCAGAUAUCAGGAGGAACACCGGUGGCGAAGGCAGGUCUCUGGGCUGACACUGACGCUGAGGCUCGAAAGCAUGGGGAGCAAACAGG
rnacentral:rRNA from 1 species